rnacentral:lncRNA from 1 species
CACUCACACACAGACCUGUCUCUCUCUCUCUCUCUCUCGGCUCAAUCACACGACUCACACUCACACUCACACCAGACACGGCGCAGCGGCGCCUCCCUUCCGGCGACGAGCGCCACCGCUUCUUUUUCGACCUCCGACGAACAGCGGCCCUCCCUCUCGUCUUUACUUAGUAGUCGACGGCAGCAGCAGCAAAAGCCGACCACCGCCGCCUCAUCCCUCAUCUCCCUCUCGGCUCAUUUCUCAGACCGGAUACCCCAGCAACCCCCUCCUCCUUGGCAACGGCGGCCGCCGUGGCCUCCGUCACCUCCCUCGAUCUCUCUGUCAGAACCCACGCCUCACACCGUCCGCGUCGUCUCCUUCCUUGGAGACGGCGAGAGCGCCGCCUCCUCUCUCUCUGCUCUCUUUCCUAUUCCAGCGACAGACUCAACUUAAACAGCAACGACACCCUCCCGACUCGGUUCACUAAAGUUCGAAGAUGAAGAGCAAAAUCAGAGUUCAAGACUCGACCUUUCUUUCUUCUUUUUCUUUAAGACAGACAUGCUUCAUGUAUAUAAAAAUAUAUGAAUAGAUGGUAUGCACAUGAAUGAAAUCUUUAAAUGUCAUUUGUUUCAAAAACUUGGAACACAAAAUAUGAAUUUGAGGUGCUAACCGUGAAUAGAGAUAAAAUGGGCAGAGGGGUUUGUAGACGAAGCCUUUGGUUUGAUGAACUUGGCAAAUGUUUGGCUUGGUUAGCUGUUGUAUACUGGACCUUCGUGAAUCAGGCUAUAUAAGAAUUCAGAUAUUGUUUCCAUCAAAAAUUGCCAUAGGAAUUAAGAGGAAACAAAGGAAUUUCAAAGCUGAAACUUACAGGUGUAGUUGGCAGAACGCUUGGGAGAGAGAUGGGAGAUGCUGAAAGUUGUAAAGAAAUGCUAAGGUGAUAGAUAUGGCUUCAAAGUGUAUCUAGAUGUGGCACUAAGAUGGGGAUUUGACAUGCCUGCAAAGGCAUGGCUAAAACACUUUUGGGGUUGCUUGAAAGGACAAGGUAUGGUGUUGGCCCGCUGCUAGGAACACAGGUUAGGCCAUCCACUAUGGUUAAAAAAAAAUGGGUAGUUGCUGACAUGGAAAGGAGAGAACCAUGGUGGGCGUGAGUAUUUGGGGUAGCAAAAUGGGAAA